rnacentral:rRNA from 1 species
AUACGGAGGGUGCAAGCGUUACUCGGAAUCACUGGGCGUAAAGGACGCGUAGGCGGGAUGCCAAGUCUGAUGUGAAAUCCUAUGGCUCAACCAUAGAACUGCAUUGGAAACUGGUAACCUGGAGUAUGGGAGGGGGAGAUGGAAUUAGUGGUGUAGGGGUAAAAUCCGUAGAUAUCACUAGGAAUACCGAAAGCGAAGGCGAUCUCCUGGAACAUUACUGACGCUAAGGCGUGAAAGCGUGGGGAGCAAACAGGAUUAGAAACCCCGGUAGUCC